rnacentral:lncRNA from 1 species
UUCAUUUAAAAGUUAUCUUUAAAAUAUUUUUUUUAGCAUAACAAUGAUUGUAAGUAAACAAUCUUAUUUUUCUCAUUUAUUUAUUGAUAUUGGCUAUUCAUUUGUUAUCGAGAACAUAGAACGAUUAUAUUAUUUUAGUCUACUUACUCCAGAUCCAUGUGAUAGAACCAGAGGAAGAAAAAUGUAUUUACUAAUUUAUAGAUUUUUUGUUUGAGUCAUCAUUUACUUUCUCCAAAAU